AGUCGAGGGGUAACAUUGGUGCUUGCAUCAGAUGACGACCGGCGAACGGGUGCGUAACGCGUAUAGAAUCUGCCUUGUACAGGAGGAUAGCCUUUAGAAAUGAAGAUUAAUACUCCAUAAUAUUGGGAAGUGGCAUCACUAUCUAAUUAAACAUUUAUGGGUACAAGAUGACUAUGCGUCCUAUUAGCUAGAUGGUAAGGUAACGGCUUACCAUGGCAACGAUAGGUAGGGGGUCUGAGAGGAUUAUCCCCCACACUGGUACUGAGACACGGACCAGACUCCUACGGGAGGCAGCAGUGAGGAAUAUUGGUCAAUGGAGGCAACUCUGAACCAGCCAUGCCGCGUGCAGGAAGACUGCCCUAUGGGUUGUAAACUGCUUUUAUACAGGAAGAAACAGUCGUACGAGUACGGCCUUGACGGUACUGUAAGAAUAAGCACCGGCUAACUCCGUGCCAGCAGCCGCGGUAAUACGGAGGGUGCAAGCGUUAUCCGGAAUCAUUGGGUUUAAAGGGUCCGCAGGCGGUCAAUUAAGUCAGAGGUGAAAUCCCAUAGCUUAACUAUGGAACUGCCUUUGAUACUGGUUGACUUGAGUUAUACGGAAGUAGAUAGAAUAAGUAGUGUAGCGGUGAAAUGCAUAGAUAUUACUUAGAAUACCGAUUGCGAAGGCAGUCUACUACGUAUAUACUGACGCUCAUGGACGAAAGCGUGGGGAGCGAACAGGAUUAGAUACCCUGGUAGUCCACGCCGUAACGAUGGACACUAGUUGUUGGGAUUUAUCUCAGUGACU
rnacentral:rRNA from 1 species